ACUUUAAAGCAUUGCUGCUGGUGUAUAAAUCUCUAAAUGGUACAGGGCCCAAUUACCUCUCUGAUAUGUUGCAGCGGCCUAACCCAAUCAGAUCUACCAGAUUGCAGCAGCAAAAUUUACUGGUAAAACCUGUUGUUAAAACAAAGUGUGGUGAAGCAGCUUUUAGCUACUAUGCAGUACAGCUAUGGAACCAACUCCCAGAGGACAUCAAAAAUGCUCCUGCUGUUGGCAGCUUCACAUCUAGAUUAAAGACCAAGUUGUUCUCAGAUGCUUUCUGCUAACUGGAAUGGUAGGCUACACCAUUCGUUCAUCGGAUUUGUCUACCAUGUCUCCAACACUGGACAAGGAAUUCAAACUGCAGUCUCACAACUACACAAUGAAGGUAAGAAAAAACCUAGCUAACAUUAACAUAGACUAUAAUGGCAGGUGGAUUACAGGAUAGUGUAGGCUUCGAAUGUGUACGGUGAGAGAGAGCGCGGGCAGCGCGAAAGAAAGGUAGCAGGCAACAGACGUGAAAUCAACUGUCAGUCAGAAAGAAAAUAGGUAAACGUGUGGAAAAAUGUGGCGUUUUAUAUCAGGAGUGAAAAGGAGAGCUGAGAAGAGUGUACAGCAUACAGGCCAAGAAGCGAUACUUUAAUGAGAGAUGGCGAAUAGCAGCUGAUGGGGAGCGCAGACAGUGGCUUGUCUAUGAGGAGGGGAUGAUGUUCUGCUCAGUGUGUCGACAAUACGCAUCAGAGACCCAGAGAUUGAACAGCUUUAUUGUUGGAACAAAAAAACUUAAACUAGAGGCCGUGAAAGACCACGAAUCGUCAAAGUGCCAUAUCCACAAUACCAAAAUUGCUAACAGGAAAUCGGCACCAGAAGAGAGCCAAGCCAUGAAAACGCUCAAUAGCCUAAAGGUAGCACAGCUGGAAAAAAUGGCCUUGUUAUUCCGCAAUGCCCACGCCAUAGCAAAGAAAAAAAGACCAUUCAAAGAUUAUGAAUGGCAGUGCACGUAAAGCCUAGGUCACAACCGAACGUACGAUUUUUUGGCCGUGCGAUUUUUGGCGUUUCCCAAAUCACUGCGGUUUUUUUUUGUUCAUGGAGAAAGAUGCACGUUGGCCGUAAGUUUGUCUUGCAACCUGAAAAAAAAUGUAAGUGCCCGUAGAGUUUGUUUGACAUGACAAAGAACCUCUGCGGCCGGUCUGCGGCCAGUCCACGGCUCGAAAAUCAGCACGUCACACGCGCGCCCUCCGUGCGUUUCACGCACGCCCUCCGUGCGUUUCUUGCGUUUUUUGCACGUAGACCGGCCGUAGGAGCAUGCAUGGCCGGUUGUGACCAAGGCUUAAGUGUUUGUUUACUCCAUUGGUCAGUCAGUGUCUUCUCAUUAGCUAACUAAGCGAGUUGCUAGCUAUGCUAUAGCAAAGAAUAUCUUUGGCUAUAGUAAGUUGUUCAAGUUUUCAUUUGGCAUCUGUUUGAGAUUUCAAGCUAGACUGUAAAUGUUCAGGGCACAGCAGUUGUUUAUACAUGACGCUGUCAGAGUUUCCAGCUGCCCUGUAGCCCAGAACACUUCUCAUCUCAUUAUCUCUAGCCACUUUAUCCUGCUCUACAGGGUCGCAGGCAAGCUGGAGCCUAUCCCAGCUGACUAUGGGCAAAAGGCGGGGUACACCCUGGACAAGUCGCCAGGUCAUCACAGGGCUGACAGACACAGACAACCAUUCACACUCACAUUCACACCUACGGUCAAUUUAGAGUCAUCAGUUAACCUAACCUGCAUGUCUUUGGACUGUGGGGGAAACCAGAGCACCCGGAGGAAACCCACGCGGACAUCGGGAGAACAUGCAAACUCCACACAGAAAGGCCCUCGUCGCCGGCCACGGGGCUCUAACCCGGACCUUCUUGCUGUGAGGCGACAGCGCUAACCACUACACCACCAUGCCACCCGCCCAGAACACUUCUAAUGUUAAAACAAGAUCUGAGGGGAAAUUGAUGCCUAACAGCUGAACUAUCCCUAGACUAGGACUAGCUGCUACAAGCAGACAUAGUUCUUCUUCUUCAGUCUUCAGGCCAGCUUCAGUCAUAAACGACUAUGCCAGGGAGGCAACAGUUCAUCAUCAAUCAUCAUCAUCUAUAGGUGACAGGCGAUUCCGCCAUAUUUUGAGUCUCUCCAGGUUAGCCUCUUUAUCCACCCUAAUACCGCACCUGAGACUUGCAUGCCAAGUGUCACAAUCAAUGCAUACAGAUGUCCAGGUAGCAGGGUUUAUUUGGAAGUCUCUCAGAUCUCGUUGCAGAACAUCCUUGUACAACCCCUGUACAAAAUUCCCUGCCUUCUUCUGUGUAAAUUCCUGUUGUUCUAUGUAAAAUACUUUGCCUUUAAGAAAAUGCAGCACCGCCCCUUUAAGGAGCUGCGUUAUAUAAACAGGCACGGACGUUUCUCUUUCAUGCCGUCGCAUUCUAGGAGUCUCAUGUCUCGUUUGAAGGUCUCUCGGUGCUGUUGUGCGUGAAUGUCUCAUCUCAUUAUCUGUAGCCGCUUUAUCCUGUUCUACAGGGUCGCAGGCAACCUGGAGCCUAUCCCAGCUGACUACGGGCGAAAGGCGGGGUACACCCUGGACAAGUCACCAGGUCAUCACAGGGCCGACACAGACACAGACAACCAUUCACACUCACAUUCACACCUACGGUCAAUUUAGAGUCACCAGUUAACCUAACCUGCAUGUCUUUGGACUGUGGGGGAAACCGGAGCACCCGGAGGAAACCCACGCGGACAACAUGCAAACUCCACACAGAAAGGCCCUCGCCGGCCCCGGGGCUCGAACCCAGGACCUUCUUGCUGUGAGGCGACAGCGCUAACCACUACACCACCGUGCCGCCCUGUGCGUGAAUAAACCACAACUUUUGUCACAACAUAACUUCAGAACCUUUGACAUAGAUGUGUAUAUAUGCACAGAGACAAUUAAUAAAUGGCACGAUACAACCUCUAGAACAGCUGCGUUCUUUCUGACCGAAGAAUUAGGCCAGCGGGUGUACGACCAGUACUUUCCUCAUUAUAUCCUACAAAGUUGGUCCUUCGAGCCGGAUUGUACACCAGCUGCGUCAUGGCUGCUUCUAGAGAUGUCCAGGGUGAAGCACAUCAGCCUGAUCCUCGCCCCAGUCGGAGAAGACAACCUCCAGCUUACCUAGAGGACUGUGCUCAGCCACCCUCGCCAGUCAUCCCCCUUCAGGCCACACAUGCGAUCAACAGGGCAUGCAACACAUGCAGGAGUCUCAUGUCUCGUUUGAAGGUCUCUUGGUGCUGUUGUGCGUAAAUAAACCACAACUUUUGUCACAACACAACUUCAGAACCUUUGACACAGAUGAUUAUAUGCACAGAGACAAUUAAUAAAUGGCAAGAUACAACCUCUAGAACAGCUGCGUUCUUUCUGACUGAAGAAUUAGGCCAGCAGGUGUACGACCAGUACUUUCCUCAUUAUAUCCUACAACCCCAAUAACAAAAAAGUUGGGACAAAGUACAAAUUGUAAAUAAAAACGGAAUGCAAUAAUGUACAAAUCUCAAACCGAUAUUGUAUUCACAAUAGAACAUAGACAACAUAUCAAAUGUCGAAAGUGAGACAUUUUGAAAUUUCAUGCCAAAUAUUGGCUCAUUUGAAAUUUCAUGACAGCAACACAUCUCAAAAGUUGGGACAGUGGCAAUAAGAGGCUGGAAAAGUUAAAGGUACAAAAAAGGAACAGCUGGAGGACCAAAUUGCAACUCAUUAGGUCAAUUGGCAAUAGGUCAUUAACAUGACUGGUAUAAAAAGCAUCUUGGAGUGGCAGCAGCUCUCAGAAGUAAAGAUGGGAAGAGGAUCACAAAUCCCCCUAAUUCUGCACCGACAAAUAGUGGAGCAAUAUCAGAAAGGAGUUCGACAGUGUAAAAUUGCAAAGAGUUUGAACAUAUCAUCUACAGUGCAUAAUAUCAAAAGAUUCAGAGAAUCUGGAAGAAUCUCUGUGCGUAAGGGUCAAGGCCGGAAAACCAUACUAGGUGCCCGUGAUCUUCGGGCCCUUAGACGGCACUGCAUCACAUACAGGCAUGCUUCUGUAUUGGAAAUCACAAAAUGGGCUCAGGAAUAUUUCCAGAGAACAUUAUCUGUGAACACAAUUCACCGUGCCAUCCGCCAUUGCCAGCUAAAACUCUAUAGUUCAAAGAAGAAGCCGUAUCUAAACAUGAUCCAGAAGCGCAGACGUCUUCUCUGGGCCAAGGCUCAUUUAAAAUGGACUGUGGCAAAGUGGAAAACUGUUCUGUGGUCAGACGAAUCAAAAUGUGAAGUUCUUUAUGGAAAUCAGGGAUGCCGUGUCCUUCCGACUAAAGAGGAGAAGGACGACCCAAGUUGUUAUCAGCGCUCAGUUCAGAAGCCUGCAUCUCUGAUGGUAUGGGGUUGCAUUUGUUUGUGUGUGUGGGGGGCAUGGGCAGCUUACUCAUCUGGAAAAACACCAUCAAUGCUGAAAGGUAUAUCCAGGUUCGAGAGCAACAUAUGCUCCCAUCCAGAGGACGUCUCUUUCAGGGAAGACCUUGCAUUUUCCAACAUGACAAUGCCAAACCACAUACUGCAUCAAUUACAGCAUCAUGGCUGCGUAGAAGGGUCCGGGUACUGAACUGGCCAGCCUGCAGUCCAGAUUUUUUAUCCAUAGAAAAUAUUUGGCGCAUCAUAAAACGGAAGAUACGACAAAAAAGACCUAAGACAGUUGAGCAACUAGAAUCCUACAUUAGACAAGAAUGGGUUAACAUUCCUAUCCCUAAACUUGAGCAACUUGUCUCCUCAGUCCCCAGACGUUUUACAGACUGUUGUAAAGAGAAGGGGGGGAUGUCUCAAAGUGGUAAACAUGGCCUUGUCCCAACUUUUGAGAUGUAUUGCUGUCAUGAAAUUUAAAAUCACCUAAUUUUUCUCUUUACAUGAUACAUUUUCUGAGUUUAAACAUUUGAUAUGUCAUCUAUGUUCUAUUCUGAAUAAAAUAUGGAAUUUUGAAACUUCCACAUUGCAUUCCAUUUUUAUUUACAAUUUGUACUUUGUCCCAACUUUUUUGGAAUCGGGGUUGUACCUAAGGCGAGGUCGACCUUGAUCCAUCUUUGAGAACACUAUGGAGAAUGCACCGAGGUAGGUGAGAUUUUGGCAUUCUGUGGACAUGCCCAGCCCACUUGAGUCUAAUGGAUUUCAGGAUGCAUGAUGGAGGGCUGGAACCUGUGAUGCGAAAAAGGUCCUCGUUGGUAAUCUUGUCUUUCCAAGUGACACCAAGUAUAGAUCUUAAAGAUCUUGUGUGAAAAGCACUGAGUCGCUGUUCUUGAUGGCGAUAAGUUGUCCAGCACGAAGAGCCGUACAGAAGUAUGCUCAAAACACAAGCUUCGUAUACUCUUUUGGUCUUGAUGGUUAAGUUAUCCAAUGUGGGAGGUGUAAAAGCAACACAACAGAACAAAGCGUGUGGCUACUUAAAAACCUGCCGGGACCCAGUAGCUCUCAUGUUCUGCAACUUCAUGCAUGAUUGCCUGACUCAACUCAGUUGCCUCUCCAAGACAGUUCAAGCAUCAGAUGUCACAGUAGCUGAAGUCCACAACUGCCUGGCCACCACCCAGACUAUACUCACAAAAUAUAAAACUAGGUCUAGCCCCAAGCUGAAAGCUUACGUGGACCAGCAUGAGUGAUGACAACACUGUAGACUGUGUCAUGAGGGCAAAGUCAUUGCUACUGGACAAGCUCUGCCAGAGUCUCCAAACAAGAUUUUCUGAUAUGAGCAUGAGCAUCCUCCAGGCUACUGAGUUGGUUAAUCUAAAGAGUUGGCCCGAUGCAGAGAAUUCUGAAGAAUUUGGUGAAUCUGAAGUGGAGGUAUUGACAGGUCACUUCCAAGAUGUCCUCACAUCCUCCGGGGUUGCAGUUGACCAUAUCCCUGACCAGUGGACUGUGCUGAAGACACACCUCUAUGAGACGGGAGAGUUUUGGCAGAAGACCUGGCCAGAGAUCAACAGAACUUUGAAACACCGGUGUCCUGACAUGCUGAGCUUGAUUGACCUCAUUCUCACUCUACCAGCAUUGACAGCAGACUGCGAAAGAGGGUUCAGUCAGAUGAAGCUGGCCAAGACUGACUGGAGGUCCCGACUUACAACAUCUAGUCUCUGUGACCUACUGGUCGUCCAGCUCUCAAGCCCAUCCAUAGAUGACUUUGACCCCAACCCUGCUGUCCAACUGUGGCAUCAGGCCAGUAUCCGCACUCAACGACCAGACUUCAUGGAGGGGAGGAGGAGCACUCAAGAUUGUUCCUCAUCUGAUUCCUCAGAAUCUGAUUCUGAUGAGGAUUGACUGUAUGUCUAUAUAGUUUGGUUUUAUGGUUUGUUUGUUACUGUCACCUUUAAUUUAGUCAGCAUGCUUGAACAUGGUAUGUUUUGUCAAUGUUCAUAUUUUCCUUGAGGCUUAAAAUAUUUAAAUGCUUAAAAUCUUAACUUUAAUAAACAUGACUUAACAUGGUAGAUCCUUGUGUAUUGUUUUUCAUAGGCAGUUAGAGUGAAACAUUUGCAAGUGGGUCAUUGAGGUUGAUGGAUAAUUGUUCUGUCAUACUGUAGUAAGGACUAGGGGUUGGGGA